GGCAACGUGGCCGAGCGGUCUAAGGCGCCACGUUAAGGAGAUAUCCUUGAUCAUCAUCUAGCAUUCUGUCUUCAGAAAUAUAGAUUCCGUGGUCCGAAAGGGCGUGAGUUCGAAUCUCACCGUUGUCA